CUUUUUUCAUACUUGAUUACAAAUAUUGCAGGUCCUCUGGGAGCAUGUUUCCACCAUGUGGAAGCUGGACAGUAACUGUUUAACACUGAAGGUUGCACCGAAGCUGACUCGUAGUCAUAUCUUCCCCAAUGGGUUUGACAAGAUGCGAGUCGACCUCGCCUUUCAUAUCCUUAGUAAAGAAGCUCAACAUGCCAUUUCCUUUUACAAGGCAGACAUAGAAAGGAACUAUCCAGAUGUGGAGCCAACAAGAGCUUUUAUUGACCUGAUGGCCAGGCUCAUUGAAGCUAUGACGUCGAGGUUCCCUGCAGAAGCCAUGAGACGGGGCAGCAAGAAAGAGGCCACCCUUGAUGAAACUCUUCAGUUUCUUGAUGAAUGGGAGGCUCACUCCAAAGGGCUUGGCUUUCUUAGUAAAAGUACUUCUGAGGGGCUGAGGGUGACACUUCAUUCGACAAAACACCUUCUGAAGUAUCUUGCAGAAAACGCUAACUUCAUGUACAUGAUGACUUCAAAACUGAGCCAAGACCGCCUAGAGCAAUGUUUUGGCGUUGUGAGACAAGCGAGUGGGGCAAACGAUCAUCCUACCCCGGCUCAAUUCAUUCUAGUCGUAAGGUAUGUAUACGCGCAAACUUGGUAAAUAGUACUUAUGUUUUGCAGAAGUUCGGCAUGCUUAUGUAACAACUGUUGCUUGUGCACAUCCAGGUGUCUAAGCUUCUACAGCCUAGCAAGGAGCCCCAAGGACGGCAACGUGUCAUCGGAUGUCCUGGAGUCCUUGUUAUCUGUUGAAGAAGUGCUGGCUGAACAAGAAAGCCGCAGUGAAGACAGUGUGAAGGCUGUGCCAACCGAUGCCAUACAAGUGGCUGUGGACCACCAAAGUUAUGUUGAGCACCACAGCGACGCACGACUAGUUUAUUAUAUUGCAGGAUAUGUGGCGAGAAGGCGUGUUUUGCCCACACAUUGUGAAGACUGCAAAGCAGCAUGUCUUAUUGAUAAAGGCAAUAUCCCCAGAGAACUUCCAUCAGAGGCAUCCAAAGAGUGGGACCUUGGGGGCCUUUUAUAUCCCUCAGAAUCAUUGUAUAAGCUUGUCAAUGCCCUUGAAAACAAACUCACUCGUUUAUUCAGUGUAACACGCUUGCAUGCCAAAGCUGUGGCCGAGAUAUUGCAGUCAAUUGGUGAAAUGCCAAAGAUUGGUUGCCUAGACCAUUCUGCUACCCUGACAGCCUCUGUUAUACGUUUUUAUUGCCUCACAAGGAUUCACUUUUUGCUUAAAGGUAUCAAUCAGCAGGGCAGUGAGAAGAAACGAAAAACACUGAAACCUUGUGUGUUGUAAAUUUUUUUCCUCACUUGUAAAUAAACAAUUUCAUGACCAGA
rnacentral:lncRNA from 1 species